CCUGGCAAUCACACCCUUAUGUGUCUACCUCCUACAUGGUUCCAGGGUCUGUCUGUGUGACCAAUGGCAUAUGGAAGAAAGCAUGGUUAUCAUUUCCAGGAUUUGGUUAUUAAAGUCUGCAGCCUAUCCUGAGUACUCUCUUACUCAUUUUCUCUCUUGGAUUACUCUCUGGGGGGAGCCAGCUGCCACAUCUUGAUGUCGAUCGGACAGGCUAUGGAGAUGCCCAGAUGGUAAGGAAUGAGGACCCCCCUCUAGCAGCCCCCAAGGAAUUGAAGCCUGCCACAAUCAGGAAAAAAAAGAAAGAAAGAACAGAAAGAAGAACCUCAAAAGGAGCUUCUCUAUUAUCAUUAAGAAUUUCAGGACCUAUUGAAGAAAUGAAUCAUGUUUUAGAGAAUUAAAUUCUGAUCACUUCUGUUUCUUCUUUGGGAAAAGUGGGUGCAUAUACUGGAAAUAUUCAUAAAAGCUUUCAAGGAGAUACAAGACCUGGGAAGGCCAGAAUCAGGCCAAUGGCAGUGGAAAUUAUACUGCCAAUCCCUGGAUAUUUUCCUGAAACUUCAGGAAACAGUUCCAGGGGACAGAAGGGGGAAGGAAAUCAAUGUCUAUCGAGUGUCUAAUACAGUUCCUGGGAAGUUUCCAACAGCCCAUUAUGAAGUACCUCCCUUCCACUGGAGGCAUGAUGCGAACCAGAAAGCUGAGGUGUUGCAGGCCUUCUUCAGCAGGGCAGUAUUUCCUGUCUUUGGCCUAUUUUCCUUGGGCCAAGCUCCUCAGAGGUCUUGGCUUCCCCACCAAAGGGACCUGGGAUCAUCAGGCAAUAAUUCUCCGAUUUAUUGCUCCUGUUCUACAUUCCUGACCUCUGACUAUUUGCAGACAUGGGGACCAGCUUUCCAAAGCCCGGCAUAAGCUGCUUUAAUUUUAUCAUUGUCCUAUAAUUUCAUGGAAAUGGCUGCUGCGAAGCCAACAAAUGACUAAUAAAAUCCCUCUGCCCA